UGUCGAAAAUUGCCAAUUAGAGCGACCCCGCGGACAUGUUGAAAUAAAUCGUCGGGGGCACGGCGCCCUCGGCUGCCGGCCGAGCCGGCACCUUACGGCCUGCUCCAGGAGCGGCAACGGGGGUGCGGGGCAAGGCUCGGCACAAGAACGAACCCCGGCGCGGAUCGCGCCAAGGAACGGUAACAUAGGGUGCGUUGCCUCGCCGCCGGAUGCCCGGCGAGGGAGGUGGCGACCUGUCGUAUCUGAACGACUCUCGGCAACGGAUAUCUCGGCUCUCGCAUCGAUGAAGAACGUAGCGAAAUGCGAUACUUGGUGUGAAUUGCAGAAUCCCGUGAACCAUCGAGUCUUUGAACGCAAGUUGCGCCCGAAGCCUCUAGGCUGAGGGCACGUCUGCCUGGGCGUCACGCAUAGCGUCGCCCCCGACAAAGCCACCGCGUCUCUGCAUGCUAGGUUGGGGCGGAGAGUGGCCUCCCGUGCGCCGUUGUGCGGUUGGCCUAAAAUCGGAGCUCGGCGACUGCGCCACGACGUCCGGUGGUCGACAAGGCGAAGGCCAAGGUUGCAUCGCGUCGCGCUCGGCACGUCGCCCGUGAUGCUCGCACGACCCCGGCGCGCCGUCCGUACGGCACCAACGCAGCGACCCCA
rnacentral:rRNA from 1 species